CUCUUGCAUUUCAGAUUUUUUUUUUGUUAAUCAACAACCUGACUGAACAAAUUAAGAUAAAAGAACCCUGGGAGGAGAAAUAUCAGUCCAUAAAGAGAAAACAAGAAAUGAUUGCAAGGUGGUUGUGAUGUUGAAAGAUUGGUUCAGAGUUGCACAUCUAGAAAACUGUGGUGGAAGAUUAUCAAUAGGUGAAUAAAGAGGAACGAUAGAAGGAAGUUGCCAUACAAAGGGUUAGCAGAACAUGAACCAUUUGAUCAGAAACAACUACAGAGAUGGAAAUUACAAGUUAAAAGGGACUUGUGCUCGAAGCUCAGACACCAGUUCAUCACCCCUGAGACAGAAUUCCUCAAGCAAUGAACUCUUGCUGCAGAUAUAAAAACC